rnacentral:lncRNA from 1 species
AUGAAAGAAAGGGGGAACAAUUACAAAAAGAGAAAAACACGCAAAAUCCAUCAUACCCCUCACCUCUGCUGCUUCUUCCUCUUCAUUUCACCUUCUUAACACUCAUUUUCUCAGAAAAAACACCCACGGACUUUGACCUCACUCAGAUACGCCUACAAACACAUACCGGCAAUCGAGAAUCUCCCCGGAUUCGGUCCUUUCGGUUGUGAACGAGCAGAGAGAGGAGCUGAACAGAGGAUUUGAAAUCAUGGGGGUUUCUCUCGAAAUUCCGGGGUAAAAUUUGGGAAAAUCAGGUAGAAACUUUCAUUGAGAAAAUCGAAAUACAAGAAAACAUUCCAUUUCCUUUGUAGAUCUUUUGAUUUGAAGUGGAAGGAAGCUGAGGUGGAGAGAUUGAAUUGUUGAGUUGCUGUCCGCGUUUUCGAAUCUCAGUUGGUUCCUGCUUUAGCUGUCAAAGUGCAAAUCUCUGGCUGUUUAUCGUUGAUGUUGCUGGAUCCCAAAAGGGUAUUGAAUUCUUUUGUCUUUCUGCGUUUAGGUAAGUUCUACACUUUGUAAUUAUAAUGAACUAAAAUAUGGUGUCUCGAUUUCCCUAUCAUGUAUUUAUUUUGCUUGUUUGUUAGUGAUGCCACAAUCUCUCUUAGGUGUAUUUGAUGUUGCAUUUUACUUAGCUGCUAUUUGUAGUUGAAUGAAUUUAAAGUCGGCUUAUGUGCAGUAGCUCGAAGUACAACACCCAUAUGGAUCAACUCGAUAUCUAUGGUCAAUUAAUGGUCACUACGCAUCAUUAGUUGUUAAACCAUUUGUUAGUCUUAAAUGAGGUGGAAGUUUUGUUUAAAUUUUUGUAGAUUUAGCUAUAAUUCAAACAGAAGGUUAUCAUAGUGUCAUUAGUGAAUACAUGGCUAUCAUUUGCAUAUCUGACCACUAACCGGUUAUAUCAGUUAAAUCUAAAGCUAAGGAUUGGAAUUGAAGUCGUUUAUGUAAAGAAGUUUAAGAUGAAGAUUAGCUGUGCCCUGUUGAGAAUAGCUAUUAUUGCUUUCUGGAUAUAUUAGAAUGUAUUAUGCUCAUUAUCAUUUUUGAGAAUUGUAAUUGAAGUGACUAGAACUGUAACUUCCAUUUAUAUUUGUUGCAUUUUCCAUCAAUUGGUAAUUUUGCUUAUUCUCUUUGUUUUUGCGGUUUCCAACUACCGUUACUUCCUGAGUGCUUCUCUAUUCAAUGGCGAAGUUUAGUGGUCAUUACACUUUCGAGAUUUUAGAUUAAUGUAGUAAUAUUAGUUCUACUUUGAUGGAAUACAUCUCAUAGUUGGUCACGAAGAGCAAAUAGAGGGCUAGCAAGUAUCUAC